AACGCACCUUGCGCCCUUUGGUAAUCCGAGGGGCAUGCCUGUUUGAGUGUCUUGAAGCCCUCAAGCCCAAAGUACUCCUUCGUGGGGAUUGCUUUGAGGCUUGGAUUUGGACCUCUGCCGGUCGCGUUGAGCGUCGGCUGGUCUUGAAAGCAUUAGCUGGCUACUGAGGUUGGCGACCCGGUGUGAUAAGUCACUCGCUGGGGGUAAAGCAACCUUGUCCGGUGGCUGCUGCAAAUCGUCUCGCAAGGGACAAUGCAUCUAAGUGUUUGACCUCAAAUCAGGUAGGACUACCCGCUGAACUUAA
rnacentral:rRNA from 1 species